rnacentral:rRNA from 1 species
AAAUCAACCGAGAUUGCGCGAGUAGCGGCGAGCGAAAGCGCACCAGCCCAAACCCGGGCGCGUGUAAGCGGCAGGCGUUGCCGCCCGGGGGUUGCGGGACUCGCGUCCAGGUGCUGCCCACCUGGGAGCGGUUACAAAUCCACAUGGUAGCGGAACGGCAUGGAAGGGCCGGCCGCAGCGGGUGAGAGCCCCGUACGCGAAACCAUGCGGACCGCUGACGAGUAUCCCGAGUAGGGCCGGGCACGUGAAACCCGGUCCGAAGCCGGGGGGACCACCCUCCAAGGCUGAACACUCUCCUGUGACCGAUAGCGAACCAGUACCGUGAGGGAAAGGUGAAAAGCACCCCGAGAGGGGAGUGAAACAGUACCUGAAACCGUGCGCCCACAAGCAGUCGGAGCAGCCUUUGCGCUGUGACGGCGUGCCUUUUGUAGAAUGAGCCAGCGAGUUGCGGUGUGCGGCGAGGUUAAGUUUGGAAACGAGCCGCAGCGAAAGCGAGCCUUUAAGAUGGCGAGUGAGUCGCACGCUGCAGACGCGAAGCCGGGUGAGCUAUCCUGGGGCAGGCUGAAGCGGGGGUAAGACCCCGUGGAGGGCCGAACCCACUUCGGUUGAAAACGGAGGGGAUGACCCCAGGAUAGGGGUGAAAGGCCAAUCAAACCCGGAGAUAUCUCGUUCUCCCCGAAAUAGCUUUAGGGCUAGCGUCGCGCGUUCACCGCCGGAGGUAGAGCACCGGAUGGACGAGGGGGCUUCGCCGCCUACCGAAUCCAACCGAACUCCGAAUGCCGGCGGCCCAGAGCGCGGCAGUCAGAGCAUGUGGGCUAAGCUGUGUGCUCGAGAGGGAAACAGCCCGGACCGCCCGCUAAGGUCCCCAAGUUCCAGCCGAGUGGCAAAGGAUGUGCGUCCGCCCAGACAACCAGGAUGUUGGCUUAGAAGCAGCCAUGCAUUCAAAGAGUGCGUAACAGCUCACUGGUCGAGUGGACAUGCGCCGACAAUACACGGGGCUAAGCUGGACACCGAAGCGGCGGGAUUUUACCUAAGUAGAAUCGGUAGGGGAGCUUCCCAUGGGCGGUGAAGCCGCCGGGCGACCGGCGGUGGAGCGCAUGGGAGUGAGAAUGCUGGCAUGAGUAGCGAGAGACGAGAGAGUAACUCGUCCGCCGUGAACCCGAGGUUUCCUGGGCAAGGCUAAUCCUCCCAGGGUCAGUCGGGGGCUAAGGCGAGGCCGGAAGGCGUAGCCGACGCGCAGCAGGCAGACAUUCCUGCACCGCGCACGCGGCGCUACGACCGACGGGGCGACGGAUGGGGGUGGCUCGGCGGGGUUCUGGACGUCCCCGUGAUGGAGCGCGGCCCGCGGACCAGGGAAAUCCGGUCCGCACGAGGGCGAGGCUCCGGACGAAGCGAUCAAGCGAAGCGAGUGAGCCCGAGGUCCCUAGAAAAACCCCUAGGCAGGCGCGUGCGCGCCCGUACCGCAAACCGACACAGGUGGGUGGGUAGAACAUACCGAGGCGAUCGGGUCAACCAUGGUCAAGGAACUCGGCACAAUGGCCCCGUAACUUCGGGAGAAGGGGUGCCCGCGCGUACGUGAACCGGCUUGCCCGGGGAGCGGAGGCGGGCCGCAGUGGAGAGGCCCAAGCGACUGUUUACCAAAAACACAGGACUCUGCAGAAGCCGCAAGGCGACGUAUAGGGUCUGACGCCUGCCCGGUGCCGGAAGGUCACGCGGAGGAGUUAGCGCAUCGCGCGAAGCCCCGAAGCCAAGCCCCGGUAAACGGCGGCCGUAACUAUAACGGUCCUAAGGUAGCGAAAUUCCUUGUCGGGUAAGUUCCGACCUGCACGAAAGGCGCAACGACUUGGGCGCUGUCUCGACCAUGGACCCGGUGAAAUUGCACUGGUCGUGAAGAUGCGACUUACCCGCGGAAGGACGGAAAGACCCCGUGAACCUUCACUGCAGCUUGGCAUUGGCCGCUGGUCCCGCGUGUAGAGGAUAGGCAGGAGGCACAGAUCCGGAGGCGCCAGCCCCCGGGGAGCCGCCCUUGGAAUACUGCCCUCGCGCGACCGGCGUCCUAACCCGAGGCCGUCAACCGGCUCGGGGACCGUGCCAGGCGGGCAGUUUGACUGGGGCGGUCGCCUCCUAAAGGGUAACGGAGGCGCGCGAAGGUCCGCUCGGGACGGUCGGCAACCGUCCUUUUGAAUGCAAGAGUACAAGCGGGCUUGACUGCGAGGCCCACAAGCCGAGCAGGUGCGAAAGCAGGCUCUAGUGAUCCGGCGGCCCCGAGUGGGUGGGCCGUCGCUCAACGGAUAAAAGGUACUCCGGGGAUAACAGGCUGAUCUUGCCCAAGAGUCCACAUCGACGGCAAGGUUUGGCACCUCGAUGUCGGCUCAUCGCAUCCUGGGGCUGGAGCAGGUCCCAAGGGUACGGCUGUUCGCCGUUUAAAGCGGUACGCGAGCUGGGUUCAGAACGUCGUGAGACAGUUCGGUCCCUAU